GCAUGCGUGGCUCAGUGGUUAGGGCUCCCGUUUUGAAUUUCGGGUCUUGGGUUCAAACCCUCCUGGUGCA